rnacentral:tRNA from 1 species
AAUUUAUAUAGUUUAAACAAAAACAUUACAUUUUCAAUGUAAAAAUAAAAAUUUAUUUUUUAUAAAUA